AUGACGGUGGCAAAUUCAAGUCCAGUCAAUCCAGUCGGCUUCUUUGAUGUGAGCAUUGGCGGCCAGGAAGUUGGUUGCAUGAAGAUCGAGCUCUUUGCAGAAGUGGUGCCUAAGACGGCAGAGAACUUUAGGCAAUUCUGCACUGGAGAGUUCAGAAAAGAUAGUGUUCUGAUAGGAUACAAAGUUAGCACGUUCCACAGGGUCAUAAAGGAUUUCAUGAUUCAGGGUGGAGAUUUUGUUAAUGGCGAUGGUACUGGAGUGGCCAGUAUUUACCGGGGUCUAUUUGCAGAUGAAAAUUUUAAACUUAGACACUCAGCUCCAGGCCUGUUUUCCAUGGCAAACAGUGGUCCCAGAACAAAUGGCUGCCAGUUCUUUAUCUCGUGUUCUAAGUGUGAUUGGCUGGAUGGAAAGCAUGUAAUGUUGGAAAAAUCAUUGAUGGACUUCUAGUGAUGAGGAAGAUCGAGAUUGUACCCACAGGCCCCAACAAUAAGCCCAAACUUCCAGUGGUGAUCUCACAGUGUGGAAAAAUGUAAUCUAGAUAAGAU